GUUUGUUUUGAAAAUGGAGAGGAUAGUAAUAAUAUGUUUGAAUGAACUGGAUGUUUCUUUUUUGAAGAUUUAUUUUAUAUGAAAGACAGACACACAGAGAGAGACAUCUUCCAUCAUCUGGUUCACUCCCACAAAUGACUGCAAUGGCUAGGGCUAGGCCAGGCCAAAGUCAGGAGCCUGGGGUUCCAUCCAGAUCUCCUCUGUGAGUUGUAGGGACCCUAGGACCCCAAGUACUUGGGCCAACCACUGCUUUCACAGGUAGAUUCACAGGGAGCUGGAUUACAAGGGGAACAGCCAGGACCCAGCGCAUAACUGCAUUAUGGGACACUGGCAUUGCAGCCUUCUGUGCCACAGCACUGGCCACAGAUGUGUGCUUCUUCUCCAUCGAAACCCAAAUCCAGUGCAGCAAGGCCACUGUGCUACUAAGGAGUUGAUCCUGGGUAAUUAACUCCUUCUUAUUUUAUUCUAGUGAGUAAUCUAGAAGAUGCCAAGGGUUUCUGUCACAGGGUGGAACAGUUGGCUGAGGUAUAUAGGGUGUACAAUGAUACACAUGUAUUUUUAGAGGUUGGCAUGGUAGCCCAGGGGGUUAAGCUGCCGCUUGCGAUGCCUGAAUCCCAGAUUGAAGCACUGGUUCGAUUCCCAGCUACUCCACUUUUGAUUCAGCUUCCUGCUUAUGUGCCUGGGAGGGCAGUAGCAGGUCACUCAAGACCUUGGGCUCCUGCCACCUAUGUAGGGAGACCGGGAUGGAGUUCCUGGCUCCUGGCUUCUGCUUGCCCCAGAUCUGGAUGCUAUGGUCAUUUGGGGAGUGAACCAGCAGAUCUUUCUCUCUGUCCUCCUUCUCUCUCUGUCAUUCAGCCUUCCAAAUAAAUAAAUAAGUAAACCAAUCAAUCAAUCAAUCUUAAAAAGAAGUAAAUUUUCCAGUCAAUCAUGUUUCCAGAACUUUAAGAGUCAUCAAUUUUUGUCCAUUUGCUUAUCCCAUAGAUACUGAGGCUUACAGAUACUUAUGGAGUCCCAAUCAGACUUCGGUAAUUAGGUGGUGAUCAAAACAAUAAGUAUCUGCGUAUUUAUACCAACUGAACAACCUUGUUUUAAGUUUGUCAUCACUUCUCUUGAACAAUAAAAACCUGUGAUAUUUUGUCAUACCUAUUCAGUCCAGAAAAGUAGAAAAUAAAAUAGCUUCCCACCUCACGAUUGUUGUCAAAAGAGCCUAUCCAUGCAAUGUGUUUAACACAGGGCUUGGCUCAUAGUAUAAGAAGCGCUUGGUAACACUAAUGGUUUCAACUAUUCCUAUGCUAUAAUUAUCAUUUUGCGAAUUUUUUUUUAAAAUCACUGGAGAGUUUAAGCCAAACUUGGGUCAGAUCUGGGUGUGCCUUUUCAAAGUCAAUGAUUUUGAACAACUUACACAGCCUCUCUGCAUUUCAGUUUCCUCAUCUGUGAAAUCAGUGUGAUGUCAGCGCCUGCGCCAUGGGAUGAUUGCAAGGAGUAGUGAGAUGCUGUUUCUAAGGUGGCUGGCGUGGCACCUGGCUUGUACUGAAUGCCACUAGUUACUGUAAUCUUUGGAAUAUCCAAAGCGUGUGUUGUCGCUUUGAACUGACACGAUAUUUUCACCUAAAAAUUCUCAUGUAUUGCUCAGGGAACAGAGAAGGGUCACUGUUUAUUUCAUCCUUGUAGUUGUUUAUGAAAUAAGGAGUUCCAUGAUCUGCCCAAAACUACAGGGAAAGUCAAUCCUUCGUCCUGGCAGGCAUCACUGGAGUUACAAGUGAUUCCCGGAGCACUCUGUUAGCCUGGUGAGAACACCUGUGUGUAGACAGUUGUAUGAAGGAUUCAGCAUUCAUCAAGGUGGAUCUGAGCUGGCUCUCUGGAAUGCAUAUCUUGGUGGGAAGCAGCCCUUCAAGAAUUAAGGUACGGGGUAGGCAUUGUGAGUCAGCGGGUUAAGCCACCAUGGGGGACAACAACAUCCCGUAUCCGAGUGCCAGUUAGAGUCCCAGGUACUCGACUUGUGAUCCAGCUUCCUGCUUGGGUGCCUAGGAGGCAGCAGACGAUGGCUUAAGGAUCCCUUAAGGGUCCCUGCCACCCACAAGGAAGACCCAGGUGAAGUCCCUGGCUCCUAGCUUUGACCUGGCCCAGCCUUGGCUGCUGUGGGCAUUUUGGAAAUGAGCUGUGGAUGGAAGUUCUCUCUGUGUGUGUCAUUCUGUCUUUAAAUUGAUCAAUCAAUAAUUUUUUUUUUUUUUAAGAACUGAGGCUUAGUAAACUGAGGGUCUCAUGCCUCCCUCAAUGGGCAAAGCCACUGCUGUCAUAAAAAAAAUCCUGGCUGGCGCCACGGUUCAAUAAGCUAAUCCUCCGCCUAGCGGCGCCGGCACACCAGGUUCUAGUCCCGGUCGGGCCGCCGGAUUCUGUCCCGGUUGCCCCUCUUCCAGGCCAGCUCUCUGCUGUGGCCCGGGAGUGCAGUGGAGGAUAGCCCAAGUGCUUGGGCCCUGCACCCGCAUGGGAGACCAGGAGAAGCACCUGGCUCCUGGCUUCGGAUCGGCGCAGUGCGCUGGGUGCAGUGCGCCAGCCGCAGCGCGCCAGCAGCAGCGGCCAUUGGAGAGUGAACCAACAGCAAAGGAAGACCUUUCUCUCUCUGUCUCUCUCACUAUCCACUCUGUCAAAAUAAAUAAAUAAAUAAAAUCCUGUCCCUUUGCCUCAGUCACAACAAGGGGACAUAGCCUCUUGACCAAAUACUCAGAUACUCGAAGUCUUUUCUGUCUCACUUCCAGCAUCAGAGCCAUGUAUUUCUUUUUUAAAAAAUGCUGUUGAAAAGAUUCUACUUUGGGGCCAUUGUUCUUGGAAGGACUGCUGAGAUCUUCACUUUCUCUGAUUCUUCCACCAAACUUUCGCAGGAUGUGAGUCCAGCCUUACAUCUUUAGAUUUCCAAAAGGAACAGGUCAUCUGGAGUUAUACACACUUAAACAUAUUAUACACACAAAAAUGUACACACUUCAAAGUCACAGACUCCAUGGAAUCAAAGCCAAAACAUGGCAAUGGCUUGCGUGAGGCCUGGGGACAGCCAUUUGCAAUGUCAGCUGUCCAGGGGGGCCUGAUUCUUUUCGGAGGUCAGGAAGGAGUUCCGUGGACAAGUGGCAUUUAAUCCAAAGCCAGAUGAAUAGGUAGGCGGUUGUCAGGAGAGGGACAGGGUGCAGCUCCCCGUGGCUGGAGCAGAGCUCGACACUGUGGACUGCAGGGCUGGGGAGGCAGGUGAGACAGGCACAACUAGAUGUGACAGGGCACUGUGGUGUGGUUGAGUCAGGCAGCUCUUUACAAACAGGGUGCCCUUCUGGGAAUCGACUGGAAGGGGCAAGAAGACAGUGGAGAGACACUGUAAGGUGUGGUGGUGGCGACGUCCACCCACACCUCUGAUUCUCACCCCCGUCUCAUCCCUGUUGGAUGCAGUGCCAGUGUCGUACCAAGCCAAGCUGAUUUCCUGUUCUGCCAUGUUUUUCUAGAGUGAGGACGACUGUCUCUCAACUUCAGCCUUGGUCAAGAUUUAGAGGGAACUUUCUGACUGCUUCCAGAGCCCCGACGCCUAUCCCCUACUCCGGGUCCCUUUUCAGUUUGCAGAUUUACUUUUGUCUCAAAUGCGUUUUCACCUGUGUUUUCUUUUACACCUAAAUGCCAGUUUUCAACUGUCAUUGAAUAAGAAUUAAGAACACGUUACAUUAAAAAAUAGCUUAUCGGUAAAUCAAACCUUCUGGCAAACGUGAGGGUUGAGGUACCAAGUGUCAUUGUCUUUUAUAUCUACCUAAGGAAAUACUUUUUCUCCCUCUUUACAGCUGACAUAGUUGUUUUUGAGAAAUGCAGCCCUCAGGUUGUUGGAAGUCACUGUGAAUUAAAUCAAGCUAGUUAAAUGGCAAACUGCCAGGAGAAUUUUAAAAACUUGUGUGAGAAGAUAUUGCUAUUUUUUUUCCUGUCACUUUAAAUUUUCCAAGGCCACCCCAUAGAACGUUGGGAGCAGGUAUUGGAUAUUGAUUCAAAACGUCAAGGUCAUCAGACCCACUCGAUGGCUUUGAAAGUCAGGGGUUCGAGAUCCAGGAAGAAGCAGACACCUACCUGAAGAGGAUAAAGGCCCAAAACUCUGUGCCCCUGGCAUACAGCAAUGGGCCUUGGUCCCUUCACACGGCACUGGGCAGUCUCCAUUUCUGUCUGCUCCGGGCACGCUCACGUGUCUGGUGAAUCCAGGCUUGCAUCUGGUCCCUUUACCAUGCAUUGACUUCGGCUUUUUUUUUUUGCUGGCAAAUAAAUCAUUUCUUUCAGAUCAGAUAAAAAAUGGGCUAUGCUCUUUUGGAAACAGAAGACUUCCAGAUAAUUCCAUGUUUGCACUAUAAACUAUACCAGUCAAUUGCACAUUCAGGUUUACACUGGGGCCAGAUUUAUGCCCCUGAGAAAGUUCUAUUUUUGCAUGAUUUAGACAAAAAAAUGUGUCUGAACAGCCUUACCCAGCCUAAUUUAUAUGAAACUGGGAUUCUGCCACCUGGAGUUUCGGGUCUGCUCUGUGAGACGUGUCUGGUAUGUGACUAAGGACCAAGUGAGGAGGAGGCGGUGGUGGAGGGGAAGAGAGGGGCUCCCUGGAAAACAGGCCCCCAUCCCAGACAACUGAAUGGGGCGUGCACAACCAGCUGGGAGGGAGGCCUCCCCAUUGUGUUUGUGUUAUUGGCUCUUGUGUACAACCAGAGAGGCUCCCCCUCCCCAGGGCACGCCUGGUUGCUACGAUCUGUUCCUGGGGGCUUAUAUGCAUCCCAAAUGGCAUCUCCCUCCCGUCCAGACAGCCUGGGCUUUGCUCAAUUACCAAAGCCGGCAGCAUUUUGAUCCCAAACACUUCUGGUUCCCACCUGCAUCUGAGCCUGCACGAGAGAGAGGACAAGCCGAACAGCUCCCCCUCCCCACCCUGUUCCAUAUCCGGGGCCUGUCCGCUGGCCAAUCCACCCCCGCCCCACCC